rnacentral:misc_RNA from 1 species
GAUGAAGAACGUAGCGAAAUGCGAUAAGUAGUGUGAAUUGCAGAAUUCAGUGAAUCAUCGAAUCUUUGAACGCACAUUGCGCCCUUUGGUAUUCCUUAGGGCAUGCCUGUUCGAGCGUCAUUUAAACCUUCAAGCUCAGCUUGGUGUUGGGUGACUGUCCGCUUCACCGCGGACUCGCCUCAAAAUUAUUGGCGGCCGGUACAUUGGCUUCGAGCGCAGCAGAAACGCGAACUCGGGCCCGUCGUAUUGGCUCCCAGAAGCUAUCUUCACAAUUUUGACCUCGGAUCAGGUAGGGAUACCCGCUGAAAUUAAGCAUAUCAAUAAGCGGAGGA